GAUGAAGAACGCAUCGAAAUGCGAUAAGUAAUGUGAAUUGCAGAAUUCAGUGAAUCAUCGAAUCUUUGAACGCACAUUGCGCCCUUUGGUAUUCCAAAGGGCAUGCCUGUUCGAGCGUCAUUUGUACCCUCAAGCUUUGCUUGGUGUUGGGCGUCUUGUCUCUAGCUUUGCUGGAGACUCGCCUUAAAGUAAUUGGCAGCCGGCCUACUGGUUUCGGAGCGCAGCACAAGUCGCACUCUCUAUCAGCAAAGGUCUAGCAUCCAUUAAGCCUUUUUUUCAACUUUUGACCUCGGAUCAGGUAGGGAUACCCGCUGAACUUAAGCAUAUCAAUAAGCGGAGGA
rnacentral:misc_RNA from 1 species